GGGGGGACGGAGAAGGCUAUGUUGGCCGGGCGACGGUUGUCCCGGUUUAAGCGUGUAGGCUGGUUUUCCAGGCAAAUCCGGAAAAUCAAGGCUGAGGCGUGAUGACGAGGCACUACGGUGCUGAAGCAACAAAUGCCCUGCUUCCAGGAAAAGCCUCUAAGCAUCAGGUAACAUCAAAUCGUACCCCAAACCGACACAGGUGGUCAGGUAGAGAAUACCAAGGCGCUUGAGAGAACUCGGGUGAAGGAACUAGGCAAAAUGGUGCCGUAACUUCGGGAGAAGGCACGCUGAUAUGUAGGUGAAGUCCCUUGCGGAUGGAGCUGAAAUCAGUCGAAGAUACCAGCUGGCUGCAACUGUUUAUUAAAAACACAGCACUGUGCAAACACGAAAGUGGACGUAUACGGUGUGACGCCUGCCCGGUGCCGGAAGGUUAAUUGAUGGGGUCAGCGCAAGCGAAGCUCUUGAUCGAAGCCCCGGUAAACGGCGGCCGUAACUAUAACGGUCCUAAGGUAGCGAAAUUCCUUGUCGGGUAAGUUCCGACCUGCACGAAUGGCGUAAUGAUGGCCAGGCUGUCUCCACCCGAGACUCAGUGAAAUUGAACUCGCUGUGAAGAUGCAGUGUACCCGCGGCAAGACGGAAAGACCCCGUGAACCUUUACUAUAGCUUGACACUGAACAUUGAGCCUUGAUGUGUAGGAUAGGUGGGAGGCUUUGAAGUGUGGACGCCAGUCUGCAUGGAGCCGGCCUUGAAAUACCACCCUUUAAUGUUUGAUGUUCUAACGUGGACCCGUGAUCCGGGUUGCGGACAGUGUCUGGUGGGUAGUUUGACUGGGGCGGUCUCCUCCUAAAGAGUAACGGAGGAGCACGAAGGUUGGCUAAUCCUGGUCGGACAUCAGGAGGUUAGUGCAAUGGCAUAAGCCAGCUUGACUGCGAGCGUGACGGCGCGAGCAGGUGCGAAAGCAGGUCAUAGUGAUCCGGUGGUUCUGAAUGGAAGGGCCAUCGCUCAACGGAUAAAAGGUACUCCGGGGAUAACAGGCUGAUACCGCCCAAGAGUUCAUAUCGACGGCGGUGUUUGGCACCUCGAUGUCGGCUCAUCACAUCCUGGGGCUGAAGUAGGUCCCAAGGGUAUGGCUGUUCGCCAUUUAAAGUGGUACGCGAGCUGGGUUUAGAACGUCGUGAGACAGUUCGGUCCCUAUCUGCCGUGGGCGCUGGAGAACUGAGGGGGGCUGCUCCUAGUACGAGAGGACCGGAGUGGACGCAUCACUGGUGUUCGGGUUGUCAUGCCAAUGGCACUGCCCGGUAGCUAAAUGCGGAAGAGAUAAGUGCUGAAAGCAUCUAAGCACGAAACUUGCCCCGAGAUGAGUUCUCCCUGACCCUUUAAGGGUCCUGAAGGAACGUUGAAGACGACGACGUUGAUAGGCCGGGUGUGUAAGCGCAGCGAUGCGUUGAGCUAACCGGUACUAAUGAACCGUGAG
rnacentral:rRNA from 2 species